AUACAUACCUGGCAGGGGAGAUACCAUGAUCAUGAAGGUGUUUUCCCAGGUUGAGGCUCAUUCAUUGCACUCCAUGUGUGCUGACCCCUGCGAUUUCCCCAAAUGUGGGAAAUGCGACUGCAUAAUUUGUGGUUGUGGGGGACUGUGUUCGUGCUAUCCCCUA
ensembl:snRNA U1 U1 spliceosomal RNA